rnacentral:rRNA from 1 species
CCUACGGGAGGCAGCAGUGGGGAAUAUUGCACAAUGGGGGAAACCCUGAUGCAGCAACGCCGCGUGAGUGAGGAAGUAUUUCGGUAUGUAAAGCUCUAUCAGCAGGGAAUAGAAAAGAAGGUACCUGAAAAAGAAGCCCCGGCUAACUACGUGCCAGCAGCCGCGGUAAUACGGAGGGGGCAAGCGUUAUCCGGAUUUACUGGGUGGAAAGGGAGCGUAGACGGAAAGGCAAGUCAGAAGUGAAAGCCUAAGGCUCAACCAUGGGACUGCUUUUGAAACUGUCAAACUAGAGUACGGGAGAGGUAAGAGGAAUUCCUAGUGUAGCGGUGAAAUGCGUAGAUAUUAGGAGGAACACCAGUGGCGAAGGCGUCUUACUGGACCGAAACUGACGUUGAGGCUCGAAAGCGUGGGGAGCAAACAGGAUUAGAUACCCCUGUAGUC